rnacentral:sRNA from 1 species
GAAGCCCUCCAUCUAAAUCAGCUGUCUUCUCCACAUCCCUCCUUUUUCUCUCCGCCAGACGCCACCCCUACCCCUUCUAUUGUGUUGUGCCUUUUCAUUUUAGCCCCGCUUCCUACGUAGAGCCCUAACCUCCUUUGUAGCGAGGGCACUUGAGAAUUUCCGAACCUCGAGUUGUAAUGGAGCUGUAUGGAAAGAUGGCCUCUGCCCAAGAUGCCAGGUAUGGCCAGAAAGACUCCUCUGAUCAGAACUUUGACUACAUGUUCAAAUUACUCAUCAUCGGCAAUAGCAGUGUGGGGAAAACAUCUUUUCUAUUCCGUUAUGCAGAUGACUCCUUUACAUCUGCAUUCGUCAGCACGGUUGGGAUCGAUUUCAAAGUAAAAACUGUAUUCAAAAAUGAAAAGAGAAUCAAGCUUCAGAUUUGGG